rnacentral:misc_RNA from 1 species
GAAAUGCGAUAAGUAGUGUGAAUUGCAGAAAUUGUGAAUCAUCGAAUCUUUGAACGCAAAUUGCACUCUCUGGUAUUCCGGGGAGUAUGCCUGUUUGAGGGUCGUUAGAAAAAAAAUCGAAGCGCGUCGCUCUUUAUGAAAUGUUUAACAUAUUUUGUGUUUGGGUGUUCGCGUCGGAAUUGAGCCGUCUUUCAUAUGUUAAUUUCAUGUCAAAGUGGCUUAAAAUUUAUCAAUCUGGUACGAUUUAAAGCGUAUUUUAAGAUCAUCCUUGAUUAAGAACGCGCGAUGACGUACCAUCUCAUGUAGUACGUUCGACCUGCCUGUCAGGCUCAUUCGUAUACGAUAUUCAACUUUUGACCUCAAAUCAGGUAAGAAUACCCGCUGAACUUAA